rnacentral:lncRNA from 1 species
UCUGUGCUGGCUGCUGAAUAGUCUGUGGACUCAGUGCGUCUUUGUGCGGAGGCUGCGGCUCCUGGGUUGACUCGUCUGAAAUGUCACCUCUAAUUGGGAAGCCACAUCUCUCACAGAUGGCCAGGCUGUACGCAACUCUUGGCUGCUGGAUCUGUGGCCUUGCAGAGACGGCUGAAGCAGGAACACCUGGCGGCGAUGACUGCAGAUGGG